rnacentral:rRNA from 1 species
UACGUAGGGUGCAAGCGUUAAUCGGAAUUACUGGGCGUAAAGGGAGCGUAGGCGGCCAUGUAAGUGGAAUGUGAAAUGCCCCGGCUCACCCGGGGACCUGCAUCCCAAACUGCUUGGCUUGAGUAUGGGAGAGGAUGAGGGAAUUCCUGGUGUAGCGGUGAAAUGCGUAGAUAUCAGGAGGAACACCGGUGGCGAAGGCGCUCAUCUGGCCCAAUACUGACGCUGAGGCGCGAAAGCUAGGGGAGCAAACGGG